UGUUUGACGUCACACAGGACGUUAACAUGGCAAAGUCAAACCCUCAACUUCCUGUUCCUGUUUCUCUGUCGCUCUUGCAGUCAGCUUCGACUGAAAGAGAAGUUGGGGAGAUCGCCAGAGACGCUUCAGAGAGCGAUAUCUGCCCCAGGGAAGCAGAGAGAGAUACACAACGCCAUGUAGAGGAGUGUGGAACGUGCAUCGCUUGGAGAACACAGGACAUAGACGAAAGAGAAAGAGAGGAAGAGUAUCUUCCUCCCUCUCUUUCUCCCUCCCCACCACUUUCUGACUCGUUGGACGCCAUGAGUCGGAUCUAUAACCUCAAGACGGUGGGGUCCAGAACUGCAGUGUGUAUCAGUGAAAGGACAGCUGAUAUGCCCCCACACAGUGGACCUCAGGGCAAAUACAACCCCAUCAGACAAGCACCAUCACCGGACAUCCUGCCAGAAACUGCUAAGCUGUGGAAUCAUGGGAGGGACGGUGACAAAACUCAGGCGAUGGAGUCGACAGGUGUUCAGAUGGUACAGUGGCAGGUGGAACAACUACAGCUGAGGGAACAGGAAGCAGGAUGUGGCUCCCACAAUGACAAAAAGGCACAGCCCACCAUGGAGAGUUGUCCGCUUGUAGAGCCAGAGAUCAGGGCAACUGAAGGCCAGAAGAAACCAGACAUACUAAGAGAGACACAGAAAUCCCAAAUGCCUACAAGUACCAGAUUUCCACAAGGCCAACAGAAUGUCCAAAGACAAUCCCCUAUACCUCAGCAGGUCAGGUCAUUCAUAAUCAACGCCCGGAGCACCGAAUCAACAGAAAACUCACAGAAACCUCCAGAACAAAGCUCUCCAUCGCCAACCUCUCCCUGUACUGCAUCCCACUCUUCAUCUCCAUCUCUGCCUCUCUUUUCCAUUAGGAGUGCCUCAGGUAGACCAGGUAAGAGAGGAAUUACCAUCACAAUCACCCCCAGAAGACCUGCUGGGGCAGCCUCGUCUGGUGCCAUCCCAAGAGGGACCCCUGCAACACCCAAAGCAGCUCCCCAGGGCCAUAUACCCACACCUGCUCCCAGCAGCACCAAGGAGGCAGGGAAGAAACGAUAUCCUAAAGCAAAAGAGAUUGAGGUGAUUGGAGGGUACCAGAACCUUGAACGGUCAUGCUUGGUGAAAAGCAGAGGGACACCGAAAGCGGUGAAGGUGUGUUUCGAUGACGCUCAGCUGGAGAGAGUUUGUGAGUACCCUUCAGAAGGUUUUGCGCUUGCAUCCCUCCCUUACUCGCCUCAUCCGGGGCCGGAGGACGGCGGGAUGGACGAGGGGGAGCAGGAGGACGAGGGACAGGAGGAAGAUGAGGAGGAGGAGAGCGCAGCGUUUGUGUCUCGCAGAGGCAUGAAUGAGUGCGCAGCAAGGGCUCGAUGCAUAAAAGUCGAUGAAUCCUGUAAACAACUUUCCAAAUAACAAACCAGGGCAUCCUUUAGAUUUUCAAUUCUUUACAUUUACAGGAGGUGUAAGUGAUGAUAAACCUUUUAUAAAUUGGUUUUAAAAAUAGUUUUUAUUGUUUAGUUUUGCUUGUCCGGACAGAGAAUCAAAUAUACUUUGCAA
rnacentral:lncRNA from 1 species